rnacentral:rRNA from 1 species
UACGUAGGGGGCAAGCGUUGUCCGGAUUCAUUGGGCGUAAAGCGCGUGCAGGCGGCUGGGUAAGUUGGAUGUGAAAUCUCCUGGCUCAACUGGGAGAGGCCGUUCAAUACUACCUGGCUUGAGGGCGACAGAGGGAGGUGGAAUUCCGGGUGUAGUGGUGAAAUGCGUAGAUAUCCGGAGGAACACCAGAGGCGAAGGCGACCUCCUGGGUCGUACCUGACGCUGAGAUGCGAAAGCUAGGGGAGCAAACGGG